GACGAACGCUGGCGGCGUGCCUAAUACAUGCAAGUAGAACGCUGAAGAGAGGAGCUUGCUCUUCUUGGAUGAGUUGCGAACGGGUGAGUAACGCGUAGGUAACCUGCCUUGUAGCGGGGGAUAACUAUUGGAAACGAUAGCUAAUACCGCAUAACAAUGGAUGACACAUGUCAUUUAUUUGAAAGGGGCAAUUGCUCCACUACAAGAUGGACCUGCGUUGUAUUAGCUAGUAGGUGAGGUAACGGCUCACCUAGGCGACGAUACAUAGCCGACCUGAGAGGGUGAGCGGCACCACGGGGACUGGAACAGCCCCAGGCCCCCUCGGGGGGGAAGCAGUAGGGAAUCUUGGCAAAGGGGGCAACCCCGGACGGAGCACCCCCGCGGGAGGAAAGAGGUGUUUCGGAUCGAAAGGCUUUUUUGAAAGUAAAGAAGGGGUGGGGGAGGGGAAAGUUCACACUGGGCGGGUACCUAAACAGAAGGGGACGGCUAACUACGUC
rnacentral:rRNA from 1 species